UACGAAGGGGCUAGCGUUGCUCGGAAUCACUGGGCGUAAAGCGCACGUAGGCGGGUUCUAAGUCAGACGUGAAAUCCCAGCUUAACCUGGGACUGCGUCUGAUACUGGAUGGCUUGAAUUCGGGAGAGGGAUGCAGUGAUUCCAGGUGUAGCGGUGAAAUGCGUAGAUAAUCUGGAGGAAUACCGGUGGCGAAGGCGGCAUCCUGGACCGACAGUUGACGCUGAGGAGCGAAAGCUAGGGGAGCAACGGGAUUAAGAAACCC
rnacentral:rRNA from 1 species